UACAGAGGGUGCGAGCGUUAAUCGGAAUUACUGGGCGUAAAGCGCACGUAGGUGGCGACGUAAGUCGGGUGUGAAAGCCCCGGGCUCAACCUGGGAAUUGCAUUCGAGACUGCAUUGCUGGAGUACGGAAGAGGAGGGCGGAAUUCCCGGUGUAGCGGUGAAAUGCGUAGAUAUUGGGAGGAACACCAGUGGCGAAGGCGGUCCCCUGGGCCGGAACUGACGCUGAGGCGCGAAAGCGUGGGUAGCAAACGGG
rnacentral:rRNA from 1 species